AUGUCAUCCACACCUAGCAGAUGUGCCACUGCCUGCCAUGCCAGAUUUUUGACAUAAUACAGGGCUGCUGGACACAACAGUGCUCAGGAAAAGCCAGGGAGCGACUCGUGCCUUCAACGUGGUGCUUGGUUCCACUCGUGCUCUGCGAGAGAAAUGAAACCUGCGGGGGGGAGGGAAGCACGUCCGCGUCUCCCGGCCCCCGACCCUGCUUUUAUCGAUACAGAUAUACAAGGCAAACCAAAGGUUUCGGCUGCUAUUCAGUGCCUCCUCAUUUGUCCCAGAGCCGUAACAGUGGUGCCCUUUCUCUUCUGGCUGCUUUUCCCUGCUUCUGGAGCAGCAGUUAUGGGAGAAGCAGAUGGCUACUGAUUGGACUCUGCGUUUGCUCAGAAGAAAGUAGAGGGGAAGUUCGGGCACCGUGAGGGAUGAAGAAAGAGCCAAGGUGCCUGUGCUAAGAAAGCAGCCCCUCACUGCACCGGGUCCGUCUGCACCGCGCGCCUCCCGCUCCGCCGCCCGCACGGCCCGGCCCGUCAUGGAGCGGCGCUGAGAGCCCGAGGCAGCCAGCCCGGAGCCGCCUUUGUGCCACUGUCGGGGCGAGGAUUAUCCCCACCGUCCCUGGUGAGUACCGGCGGAGGGGCCCCGCCGGCCCCCGCCGCCCCCGAGCGGGAACAAUGCCGGGGAUGGCCGC
rnacentral:lncRNA from 1 species